rnacentral:rRNA from 1 species
AGAAAGGCCUGAGCUUGGACAAGGCUACCCACUGAAUUUAAGCAUAUUACUAAGUGGAGGAAAAGAAACUAACAAGGAUUCCCAUAGUAACGGCGAGUGAACAGGGAAUAGCUCAAGUUGAAAAUCAGCGGUUAUCCGUUGAAUUGUAGUCUCUUGAUAAAGUGCCAGUGGUUGCUUCGGACUAAGUCUCUUGGAAUAGGGCACCAAAGAGGGUGAUAGUCCCGUGUUGUCUGAAUGCUAACUACAUACGGUCGAUUAUCAUAGAGUCGCGUUUCUUGCAAUUGAAGCGCUAAGUGGGUGAUAAACUUCAUCUAAAGCUAAAUAUCAGCAAGAGUCCGAUAGAGCACAAGUACCGUGAGGGAAAGAUGAAAAGAACUCUGGAAAGAGAGUUAAAAGGAACUGAAAUUGCUAAGAGGAAAGUGGAGUGAUGAGGCGGUCUAUUGAAGUCUUGUGUUAUGGUUUUCCUAAUGCAAUACUCAACAAACCUUCGGAAACAAUGUGGAUUAGACGCCGGCUUUAGCUGUGCAACUCUUUUUGAGAAGCUGUGCUAUAGCUGAGUUUAUGAUAUAUUGGAUAACUGGCUUGGUGUUCGUCACUAUGUCAUUUUCCGUUGAAGUCUUAUCUCUCUAUCCCGUCUUGAAACACGGACCAAGGAGUCUAUCUCAAGUGCAAGUGCAAAGGUGUCAAACCUACGCGCGAAACGAAAGUAACUGUCAAGAUGGGUAACCUGCAUUGACAUCCAGCUACCAAGCUGCGAUAGAGCAUUUGGGAUAGGACCCGAAAGGUGGUGAACUAUACCUGAGUAGGGUGAAGUCAGAGGAAACUCUGAUGGAGGCUCGUAGCGAUACUGACGUGCAAAUCGUUCGUCAAACUUGGGUAUAGGGGCGAAAGACUAAUCGAACCAUCUAGUAGCUGGUUCCCUCCGAAGUUUCCCUCAGGAUAGCUGGAGUUAGUGUAGUUGCACCAGGUAAAGCGAAUGAUUAGAGGUAUCGGGGACUUAUUGUCUUCGACCUAUUCUCAAACUUUGAAUGGGUGCGAGUUAUCAGUUGCUUAAUUGAACUGAUGAGAUCAAUAAAAACUCCAAGUGGGCCAUUUUUGGUAAGCAGAACUGGCGAUGAGGGAUGCUCCUAACGUUGAGUUAAGGUGCUCAAGUCUCGCUCAUCAGAUACCAUAAAAGGUGUUAGUUCAUUUAAACAGCAGGAGGAUGGUCAUGGAAGUUGAAAUUCCCUAAGAAGUGUGUAACAACUUACCUGCCGAAUGAACCAGCCCUGAAAAUGGAUAGCGCUUAAGCGAGACACCGAUACUCAACCAUUACGACAAGUUGGCUUCGUGAUGAGUAGGAGGGCGUGAAGGUUGUACAGAAGUGUGUAGUGUGAACUCGCAUGGAACGGCCUUUAGUGCAGAUCUUGGUGGUAGUAGCAAUUAUUCAAAUGAGACCUUUGAAGACUGAAGCGGAGAAGGGUUCCGUGUGAACAGUAAUUGGACACGGGUUAGCCGGUCCUAAGGACGAGAUUUGUUUCUUUGAGAGGAGCUUUGCUCUAGUGUCCAAAAGGGUGUCAGUUUAAAAUCACUGAGCUAGGACGUGGGUAUAAUGUGGUAACACAACUGAACUUGGGUACACAAAGUAUGGCCCCGCGUAGCGUUUUCUUUGCUGUUUAACAGCUUGUCAAUCCCUGGAAAUAGAUCAUCUAGAGAUAGGGAUUGACAGCUGGAAAAGCAUUCUACUAUUUAGAGUGUGCGGUGCGCUGACCUUUGUCCUUGAAACCCCAAGGGAUUCUUAUUAUCCGCACCCCUAGCCGUACCAAAAACCGCAUCAGGUCUCCAAGGUUAUAAGCCUCUGGUCAUUAGGCCAAAGUAGAUAAGGGAAGUCGGCAAAUUAGAUCCGUAACUUUGGAAAAAGGAUUGGCUCUGAGGGCUGGGUAUUAAGAGACUUGCACUAAUUUCAUCGUUGGGUUCAAGGCUACUUGAAGUUCCGGCGGAUAGUGGAAUUGUUCACGACGUUGUCUGCAGUGUUUGUAUCUUCUUACAUGAAACAGCUAACUCAGAACUGAAGCGGACACGUGGAAUCCGACUGUUUAAUUAAAACAAAGCAUUGCGAUGGCCUUGAUUGGCGUUGACGUAAUGUGAUUUCUGCCCAGUGCUCUGAAUGUCAAUGUGGUGAAAUUCAACUAAGCGCGGGUAAACGGCGGGAGUAACUAUGACUCUCUUAAGGUAGCCAAAUGCCUCGUCAUCUAAUUAGUGACGCGCAUGAAUGGAUUAACGAGAUUCCUACUGUCCCUAACUACUAUCUAGCGAAACCACAGCCAAGGGAACGGGCUUGGAUAAGUCAGCGGGGAAAGAAGACCCUGUUGAGCUUGACUCUAGUUUGACUUUGUGAAACGACUUGAAGGGUGUAGCAUAAGUGGGAGUGAAAACGUCCGUGAAAUACCACUACCUCCAAUGUCGUUUUACUUAUU